rnacentral:rRNA from 1 species
GAUGUUAGGUUAAGUCCGUACGAGCGCAACCCUUGUCCUUAGUUACCAGCACGUUAUGGUGGGCACUCUAAGGAGACUGCCCGGUGACAAACCGGAGGAAAGGUGGGGAUGACGUCAAGUCAUCAUGGCCCUUACGGCCUGGGCUACACACGUGCUACAAUGGUCGGUACAAAGGGUUGCCAAGCCGCGAGGUGGAGCUAAUCCCAUAAAACCGAUCGUAGUCCGGAUCGCAGUCUGCAACUCGACUGCGUGAAGUCGGAAUCGCUAGUAAUCGUGAAUCAGAAUGUCACGGUGAAUACGUUCCCGGGCCUU